AGAAGACAUAGUUUCCUUGGUUAUUUUUAAAGUAUACUGUUUACAGUGCUUGAUAUGGUUAGAUGAAAAAAAAAUCCACUGAAACUUUUUUUUUUGACUAACAUAAAAAGCUUUGAAAUGUUUAGUUACAUAACCCUAAUGAAAUAUUUUCUUCUGUCUUCAUGGGUGCAGGUUAUUCUGAUGGGAUCCAGAACUAAAUGAGAUAUAAACCUCAAACAGGUUAAACAUUCUGCAAGAUUAAUGUGGACAUGUUGUUUGUGCCAACAAAAGGGAAUUCAAGGAGCCAGAUGAGAAAGGUCAUUAAGAACAGACUAGAGCAAGAAGCUGUUUCCAACCCUCCACUGGAGUGAGGUCUAGUCUCCAGACAGAGAGAGAGAGAAGAAAGAAGGAGGAGGACGAGGGAGAAGGAGUGGGCAUAACAGUUAACAUCUGCUAAAGAGUGGAGAUUCCAGAGAAAAAGUAAGAGAGGUUGAGUCUGCGCCAGGGACAUGAAGGAAAUAAGCUGCCUGGGAACCAAGAACAGAGGAUGGAAGGGUGGCUGCAACAUGAGCUACUCUUGUUGAAGACUAUACCCAAACUCUUCACAGAACCUCAGGACUUAGAGGAACACAACACAAAAAAAUCACCAGCACAAGAUACAUCAGAAAGGAUUUCGCAAGGCAAAACACAACUGACUACAAUAACUAGAACAGAUGAAGUGCUCUGAGAUUAGAGAAAUGAAAGCCCACAGGAUGCUGGAGUCCUCUGCGAAGUCUACAGUGGGUAAGGAAAAAUAAGUAGAAGGGUGGAAAGCCUUCUGCGUAGGGAGAAAUAACAGAAGCAAAAAAGUAGGCAAGUGGAAUAUAUCCUUUGAGACACCGUAGCUUACUCUCUAUUUUAGCUAGAGCUUGAGGUAUGUAUGGAUGAGCAAUAAUUGAUGGAGCUGUAUUCUGUCUGUUCGGCAAAGGGAGGAACUGAAGGUUUUUAAGACUUGUAGGACAGAGUGGGACUGUAGGUUGAAUAACAAUUUCAAAAGGAUUUAAAAAUCUUUAGGCAGAGGAUAAGGAUUCCAACCAGGAGUGAUAGAAAUGGGAAGAAAGGUAUCAGGACAUGUUUAACUUUGAAAAGGACAUAGCCACAGGGCUUAACAAGUGGAAAUGAAAAAUAAUUUAGUGGAAAUACGAGAAGCUUAGGGAAAAUAUAAAAUCACAAUUGGCUGAAAUCAGAAGUGUUCUUCAAGUGAAACAGGAAUCUAUUAAAACGUGAGAGGCUCUCCUUUUGUAACGAAAUUUUUGAGUUUACAGACUACUUGGAGAAAAUCACAGGAAUUGAAUAAUUGUUCACCCAUAAAUUUAAGUUAAUGAGAACCUAUGAUGACUUGAGAAUGUCUUAUAACAGUAGUCUCUUUGAUG
rnacentral:lncRNA from 1 species